rnacentral:rRNA from 1 species
AGCAGCCGCGGUAAUUCCAGCUCCAAUAGCGUAUAUUAAAGUUGCUGCAGUUAAAAAGCUCGUAGUUGAAUUUCGGGACCAUCAUGUCGGUCGUGCCUCGGUACGUACUGGCAUUGUUGGUUUCUGCCUUCUGAAGAACCUCGAUGUCAUUAAUUUGGUGUCUUGGGGAAUCAGGACUGUUACUUUGAAAAAAUUAGAGUGUUUGAGGCAAGCAUACGCUUGAAUACAUUAGCAUGGAAUAAUGAAAUAGGACGUUUGAUUCUAUUUUGUUGGUUUCUAGGAUCGACGUAAUGAUUAAUAGGGAUAGUUGGGGGCAUUAGUAUUCAAUUGUCAGAGGUGAAAUUCUUGGAUUUUAUUGAAGACUAACUACUGCGAAAGCAUUUGCCAAGGAUGUUUUCAUUAAUCAAGACGAAAGUUAGGGGAUCGAAGACGAUCAGAUACCGUCGUAGUCUUAACCAUAAACUAUGCCGACUAGGGAUCGGAUGAUGUUAAUUUUUAAUGACU